rnacentral:rRNA from 1 species
UACAGAGGGGGGCAAGCGUUGUUCGGAAUUACUGGGCGUAAAGGGCGCGUAGGCGGCCUGCUAAGUCGAACGUGAAAUCCCCGGGCUCAACCCGGGAACUGCGCCCGAGACUGGCGGGCUUGAAUCCGGGAGAGGGAUGCGGAAUUCCAGGUGUAGCGGUGAAAUGCGUAGAUAUCUGGAGGAACACCGGUGGCGAAGGCGGCAUCCUGGACCGGCAUUGACGCUGAGGCGCGAAAGCCAGGGGAGCAAACGGG